UACGUAGGAGGCGAGCGUUGUCCGGAUUUACUGGGCGUAAAGCGCGCGCAGGCGGCACUUCAAGUAAGGUGUGAAAUCUCACUGCUCAACGGGGAGGGUGCACUUUAGACUGAGGAGCUAGAGGACGGUAGAGGGGGGUGGAAUUGCUGGUGUAGCGGUGAAAUGCGUAGAGAUCAGCAGGAACACCCGUGGCGAAGGCGGCCCCCUGGGCCGUACCUGACGCUGAGGCGCGAAGGCUAGGGGAGCGAACGGG
rnacentral:rRNA from 1 species